CCUACGGGAGGCUGCAGUGGGGAAUAUUGGGCAAUGGAGGAAACUCUGACCCAGCAACGCCGCGUGAAGGAUGAAGGUUUUCGGAUUGUAAACUUCUUUCGCGAGGGAUGAAGAAUGACGGUACCUGACUAAGAAGCCCCGGCUAACUACGUGCCAGCAGCCGCGGUAAUACGUAGGGGGCAAGCGUUAUCCGGAUUUACUGGGUGUAAAGGGAGCGUAGACGGCAGCGCAAGUCUGGAGUGAAAUGCCUUGGCGCAACCCCGAAAUUGCACUGGAAACUGUGAAGCUUGAGUGCAGGAGAGGUAAGCGGAAUUCGUGGUGUAGCGGGGAAAUGCGUAGAUAGCAGGAGGAACACCGGCGGCGAAGGCGGCUUACUGGACUGUAACUGACGUUGAGGCUCGAAGGCGUGGGGAGCAAACAGGAUUAGAUACCCCAGUAGUC
rnacentral:rRNA from 1 species